rnacentral:lncRNA from 1 species
CCUCUUCACACUGUCAGAUGGUCCCUCAGCAUCCUUCAUACCCUUCUAAUAACUUAUAGCCAGGCAGCAGUGUGAUUACUAAUUUAAAUAGCACCUCACUAAACAAUGAGCUAGAAUUAGAAGGCAGAAACCUUUGGUAGAGGUGGGCAGACUACAUAGAUUUCAGUUAAGCUGAGGAGAGCAAUCUAUUUGCUACCUGCUCUACUAACACGGACGUAUCAGGACGCGUCCCAGAUAAUCCUAAUUCACACUACCUGAUAAGCCCAACCUGGUAGGUAUUAGAAAUGAUUACCCAACAUCUCUCAGCAGUUUCUCAGUAUUCAAGGGCCCACGGAUUGGCUCAACCAUUUUCAGAUUGAACAAUGUCAAGUUCUAUCUCCUCAGUGAAGCCUUUUCUCAGCCCUUGACCCACAGGGGAGCUACUGCUCCCUCUUCUGGUCUCCAGAGCACCAAUAUUCUGUACUGCCAUUUAUAACGGGACAUAGUUUCUGACAUCCCGACUCCUUUCAGUAUUCUUCUGGGUACCGCUCUGGAGAUAAAGAUGCCUUAACCCCGACCAUGCUUUGAGUCUGGAGAGGGGCUUGUGCCUGCCUCUUCCCACCCGAAGCUUCUAUUACUUCCAUUACUAGCAGCAGCAGAGCCCUCUGCAUUUCUCCUCCCAUAAGGCCAGACCCUCAGCCUUGGCUACAUUGUCUCCAAGAAGCAGGAAGGGCUGGAGGGCAGCCAGGCAUUGGGCUGAGAUAAGGCCUGGCUCUUAGCCUGGAUCUCAGUGACCAAACACUCACCUCAAAUACAAGCGUGGCAUUGGGGGGAAUCUUUGGUGGACUGCCUGCUGAACCGUAGGCAUAUUCUGGUUUGCAGGUGAUGUGGCACACCUCCCCCACCUUCAUGGUGGCUAUGGCAAUGUCC